GGGUGAGUAACGCGUGGGAACGUGCCCUCUUCUGCGGGAUAGCCUCUGGAAACGGAGAGUAAUACCGCAUACGCCCUUUUGGGGAAAGAUUUAUCGGAGGAGGAUCGGCCCGCGUUGGAUUAGGUAGUUGGUGGGGUAACGGCCUACCAAGCCUACGAUCCAUAGCUGGUUUUAGAGGAUGAUCAGCCACACUGGGACUGAGACACGGCCCAGACUCCUACGGGAGGCAGCAGUGGGGAAUCUUAGACAAUGGGGGCAACCCUGAUCUAGCCAUGCCGCGUGAGUGACGAAGGUCUUAGGAUCGUAAAGCUCUUUCGCCUGUGAUGAUAAUGACAGUAGCAGGUAAAGAAACCCCGGCUAACUCCGUGCCAGCAGCCGCGGUAAUACGGAGGGGGUUAGCGUUGUUCGGAAUUACUGGGCGUAAAGCGCACGUAGGCGGACCAUCAAGUUGGGGGUGAAAUCCCGGGGCUCAACCCCGGA
rnacentral:rRNA from 1 species